AAUUUGCUCACCAAGGAUGAUUCUAAAAUGAAGUGAAAUGAGAAAGCGUCGUCCAAUUCCAAUAUUGGAUAAGUAUUGAAGAAAAUCCAAAUACCGUAGAAGACUGACGUGGCGGUUACUUGGUUAGCAACCUAGCCCAGUUGGAGGAGAAAUGCCCCCAAACUAAAACAAAUCUUAAAUAAACACCUAUUUUUAUCAUCUUCUCAUUCAUAUUAAUCUUCAAGACAACAACACCUCAUCCAUCUUUAGUUGAUUUCUUUGUCACCUCAUCUCUUUGUUUCAAUUCAAUCCUUACAGCCUUUUCUAUAUCUGCUGAGUGAUAUAUCAGCAGAUAUGACUAAAAGCAGCUUCAAGAUUGAACAUGAUUUUGAGAUAAGGCGUGCUGAGGCUACCAGAUUCAGGGGAAAAUACCCUGAUAGAAUUCCAGUAUAACCAUGGUGCUUAUUUCUUUUUACCAUCAUAUGUCAUGCGGACACAUGGAGCAAAGCAACAAUGUGAAACUGUUAGAACUCUAAGGAAGCAAUUAGAGCUUGUUUUUGAGGCCCUGGAUACACUAGGGAACACCAAAUAGAGGAUAAAUAGAAGGAUUCUUGGUGUAGUAGAUAGGUUAUAGGCUAAUGGAGGUCGUCUUACAGACUUGGUUGAUCGUGAAGAUGUGCAUACUUUGGUUUUCUGUUCCGGUGUUUUGGAUUGUCUGGCGGUUGAAUUGAAAGCAUCAAAGGAAUUCUCUAAGUUAUAUGCAGGCAUUGCAAUACUUUGGCUUCAUCUAAGCUUGAGCUAGCCCUCUGUUGUAUAUUGUUUCUUCUUCUUUUUUGAUCUUUUUCCUUUGAUUAAUGAGAGGUGAUGAUGAUUUGGCAUUCUUUUCUCACCAGGAUGAAUUUUGUUUUAGAAAUAGUAAUACUUUGUGAGUGUCUGUGUGUGUGUGUGUUUUUUUAUGUAUUAAAUUACAUAUUGACUCAAUAUUUAUGUACUAAAUUUAAAUUCA